AGAGUUUGAUCCUGGCUCAGGACGAACGCUGGCGGCAUGCCUAAUACAUGCAAGUCGAACGCUGAAGCACUCUGCUUGCAGAGUGCGGAUGAGUGGCGAACGGGUGAGUAACACGUGGGAAAUCUGCCUAGGAGUGGGGGAUAACAUUCGGAAACGAAUGCUAAUACCGCAUAUCUUUUUGAACCGCAUGGUUCUUAAACGAAAGACGGCUUCGGCUGUCGCUCUCAGAUGAUCCCGCGGCGUAUUAGUUAGUUGGUGGGGUAAAGGCCUACCAAGACAAUGAUACGUAGCCGACCUGAGAGGGUGAUCGGCCACACUGGGACUGAGACACGGCCCAGACUCCUACGGGAGGCAGCAGUAGGGAAUCUUCCACAAUGGGCGAAAGCCUGAUGGAGCAAUGCCGCGUGAAUGAAGAAGGUCUUCGGAUCGUAAAGUUCUGUUAUUAGAGAAGAACAAGUCAAGGAGUAACUGUCUUGGCUUUGACGGUACCUAACCAGAAAGUCACGGCUAACUACGUGCCAGCAGCCGCGGUAAUACGUAGGUGACGAGCGUUGUCCGGAAUUAUUGGGCGUAAAGGGAGCGCAGGCGGCUGGAAUAGUCUGAUGUGAAAGCCCACGGCUUAACCGGGGGAAGGUCAUUGGAAACUGUCCAACUUGAAUGGCAAAAAAGGAAGGGGAAUUUCCUGUGUAGCGGGGAAAUGCUUAAAAAAAAGGGAGGACCCCCCGGGGGGCAAAGGCAAUUUAAUGGGUCUUGAAAUUUGACGCCUGAAGGCCCAAAAGCGGGGGGGUAAAA
rnacentral:rRNA from 1 species